UCCCUGGUGGCUCAGCAGGUUAAGGAUCCAGCAUUGUCACUGCUGUGACUUGGGUUUGAUCCCCGACCUGGGGA
rnacentral:tRNA from 1 species